rnacentral:rRNA from 1 species
UACGUAGGCAGCGAGCGUUGUUCGGAGUUACUGGGCGUAAAGGGUGUGUAGGCGGUUCUUUAAGUUUGGUGUGAAAUCUCCCGGCUCAACCGGGAGGGUGCGCCGAAUACUGAGGGACGAGAGUACGGGAGAGGAAAGUGGAAUUCCUGGUGUAGCGGUGAAAUGCGUAGAUAUCAGGAGGAACACCGGUGGGGUAGACGGCUUUCUGGACCGUAACUGACGCUGAGACACGAAAGCGUGGGUAGCAAACAGG